ensembl:lncRNA
AUGAAUUCAGGAUUUCCUGAUAGAAACAGGAAGUAUCCCAAUUCUCCUGCCAUCUUUGUUGGCAUUUGUAGGCUGGUGCAUCCUGAAUCCCUAUCUGACUGUCACGGGAGCUCAGAGGACAAGUCACAACAAUCAGUAAAACACAGCUCCUGGGCUCAAAGCCAAAAGUUCCUUUAUCACAUCUGCCAGCUCUGUGCAGGUGUCUUACACUUUUGGACGUCUGGAGCAGCCACUGCAAACCGUUGAGCAGUCAGCUGAACCUCACUGUAAGCAUGCAGAAAUGUUUUCCUGUUAACCACUUCUGUUCUCAGACCAGUCUGAACCACAGCUUGGGUUCAGGACCUUGACAUGAACUAAGUUACUCAGUUGAAGGUAAUGCAGUUGUUCCCUAGCUUCGGCUUUCAGAAAUGUGUUAGUAUUCUACAUUCAUCGAGUCAUGGUGUUGGACAGACAUGGAGUAGAGGGGCAAGGGAGUAGGCUGAAAAGUGCACUAUGGUGCAGAGGCAAAAUGGAGUAAUCACCCAGAUUUCGAUACAGUGGUGUGAUAAAAAAAAUAAAAUCACUGCAGCUGAAUUUGAAGUGUCUGGAAGUUACACUUUUGAGCCUUCUCUCAAAUUCUCAUAAAUUUGUAUUAUUCUUAGUUUGAAAUGUUUUGUGUGUGGUCUCUGAUUGUGACUGAAAUACAGGGAACGGAAAUUUCCUUUAGGUUCAAAUGACUGGUACAGAUCCAGUUCACGUAACUCUUAAGUACUCUGUUCAUUUAGAACAUGACAAGUUUCCAUGUACAUGCUACAACUUCUCUUAUAACUUGUAGAAGUUUUUAAGUCCACUUUCUUUAUUAGCAGCUUUAUGUUAUGGAAUUGUGUCAUUUAUAAAUAAAGAUGAUCACUGAAAAGUUAAAUUUAUCUCUUACGGUAUUCUAUUUGUUAAAAAAUACAUAUUUGAAAGUUUCAUGGACAGUUUCACCUUUCAGGUAUUUACAUAACUUGUUAAACUAUGAAAGAGGUUAUUAAAUUACAUUGAUUACAGGGGUUUCUUUUCACAGAACAAGUGUGACAGUUUUCUGGGUUUAGUGCACACUCCAAAUCCUGAUGGGACUGAAGAACCGUUACCCUAUCAGCUUAAGGAGCAGAGAAAUGCAAAAGUAGGUUUCUCAAUAGAGUAUACACUGCCAGCCAGUUUGUGUAGCAAUACUUAAAGAAGGUCACCAUGAAGACAGGUAUUAAGUAAUCCAAGUAGGGCAGUCUGCCUUCUUCCCACCCUAGAAAGGUCUGGAAAGUCCCUGUUAUAUGGGAAGCGGGCAAACCACUUCUCUGUUAGAGGUGGAGGCAGCACUGCUUGAUGUAAAGCAUUUCCCUGUCUCUAGAAUUUUUCUACUUGCUUUUAAAAAGUCAUCACAUAGGCAGCCAGUUUUCAAGCCAGAAGGUGGGCUUCCCCUUCACCAGUCAAUUAAAGUAUCCAUUCCUACCUUGGUUUUCCUUCCAGGUAGCUUAUAGGUAUUCGUCUGAUUCUCAUUACUAGAGGCAUAACUGAUCUUUUUUCCCAUUUUGAAGUUUGUAAGCACCUAUCUUACGGUUUAGUAGUGAAAUCAGUUAUCCCUCUGGCUGCAGAUAUAUCUUGGUACUUCAUUAGAAGUUUGUCAGUGUAGGUGGAGUCCUUUGUAUUAGAUUGACAGGUGAUUAGUGGGAGAGUCAUAGCACUCACAUGCCCAGAUGUGUUCACUAUUUUGCUCCAGUAAUAGGGUUUUGGGGUUGUCUGCUAAUAAAAACCAAUGAAAAAAAAGAAAACCCCACUGAGUUCAUUUAAGAAACUGAAAUAAGAGAUCAAUUUGAAAGAAGUACACUUGGACUUUUCUGUUAUCACAAGUACAAAAUAGUAGAUUAGCAAUAUAGUAAGAUAAGCGAAUAUUGUAAAUGUAUUAUGUGACUAAAAUGACCAUUUUGCAUAUAGUAUUGAUGUAAUUCUCCUGUAAUGCAAUUCAUAUGAUUGAUGUGGAGCUUAAGGAAUUGAGUUACAUUAUUUCAUUCUAACUUUGUCCUUGCAGCAAUCAAAAACCUGCCCUUUUGGCUGCUUAUGAUCAAGAAUUCUGUUAUGUGUGAAUCAUUAUUUGUGUCUAAUUACAGACUUAACUGGUUCGUGGCCUUCAUGACCUUUUAGCUGAAAAGGAUACCCAAGCACAGCAAUUGUAGAUCACAAGUCAUUGCAUGUAGGUAGUGUGAUGUAAUCCUUCAAAAAUAAUUUGAUCUUAAAUCAUGAAAAAAAAAAAUGGAAAGUAUUACAGAUUCCCUCAGGUUUAAAAAUACAAAAAAAAAUCAGAAUUUCAUACCUGGGGUUGGACUAGAUGAUCUCAAGAGGUCCCUUCCAGCUUAAACAAUUAUGUGAAAAGCCACAUGAUUCAAUUAUGAAAAUACAUUAAAUACCAAAUUUUAUUGUUGUUAUAUUUUUUUAUCUGUAAUUUUGGAUGUUU